GAUCCUGACAGCUAAGCGUUUACCUUAGCUGCCUUAAAUUCCUUCUUACAAUUGAUCCUUUUUAUUAUCCUCUCUGUUCACAUUUUACAAAAAAAAAUAAAAAAUCUUGGAGCAACCCCCAUCACCAAUCUCUGAAUGGGAAGUCACGGGAACAGUUGGGCAGAUCAAUGGGGCAGCCAAAACGACGUCGUAGAUGAAGAUUAUGGGAGCAAAGGAAAAAACGGCGGCGGUGGUAAGAAAAUGGAGAAGGUGACGGCGGUGGCAUCGGCGAGUUUUGGGAAGGCGAAAUCAGCGGCGACGGUGGGGGCUGACAAGGCUAAGGCUGCGGCGGUGGUGGGUGCAAAAAAGGUGAAGAGUGGAACUUCAUUGGGGUUUAAAUGGAUCAAGGACAAGUGCCAGAAAAAGUAAUUUUGUGUUUUACAUUUGAAUCAUUGAAAGGUUUAGUUAUAUGUAUACAGAUUGUUUUGAUGAAUGAAAUCUGAAUAUUUGAAUUCUUUUUAA